rnacentral:rRNA from 1 species
AAUGAGGGAGCAAUCCCUCUAGUACAGUGGCGGACGGGUGCGUAACACGUGGGUAAUCUACCUUCCAGCGGGGGACAACCGUCCGAAAGGAUGGCUAAUACCGCAUACGUCGGCGAGGGCUCUGGCUCUUGUCGGGAAAGAUGGCCUCUUCAUGAAAGCUGUCACUGGAAGAUGAGCUCGCGUCCCAUCAGGUAGUUGGUGAGGUAACGGCUCACCAAGCCAUAGACGGGUAGCUGGUCUGAGAGGAUGAUCAGCCACACUGGAACUGCGACACGGUCCAGACUCCUACGGGAGGCAGCAGUGGGGAAUAUUGGGCAAUGGGCGAAAGCCUGACCCAGCCACGCCGCGUGAGUGAUGAAGGCCUUCGGGUCGUAAAGCUCUGUGGGGAAGGACGAACAAGUUGCGUGCUAAUAUCACGUGACUCUGACGGUACUUCCUUAGCAAGCACCGGCUAACCCUGUGCCAGCAGCCGCGGUAAUACAGGGGGUGCAAACGUUGCUCGGAAUUAUUGGGCGUAAAGCGCGCGUAGGCGGUCUUGUAAGUCGGAUGUGAAAUCCCUCGGCUUAACUGAGGAAGUGCAUCCGAAACUGCAAGGCUUGAGUACGAAAGAGGAUCGCGGAAUUCCCGGUGUAGAGGUGAAAUUCGUAGAUAUCGGGAGGAACACCGGUGGCGAAGGCGGCGAUCUGGGUCGAGACUGACGCUGAGGCGCGAAAGCGUGGGGAGCAAACAGGAUUAGAUACCCUGGUAGUCCACGCCGUAAACGAUGGGUGCUAGAUGUUGCUGGUAUUGACCCCGGCAGUGUCGUAGCUAACGCGUUAAGCACCCCGCCUGGGGAGUACGGCCGCAAGGCUAAAACUC